GAUGAACGCUGGCGGCGUGCCUAAUACAUGCAAGUCGAGCGAACGGACGAGAAGCUUGCUUCUCUGAUGUAGCGGCGGACGGGUGAGUAACACGUGGAUAACCUACCUAUAAGACUGGGAUAACUUCGGGAAACCGGAGCUAAUACCGGAUAAUAUUUUGAACCGCAUGGUUCAAAAGUGAAAGACGGUCUUGCUGUCACUUAUGGAUGGAUCCGCGCUGCAUUAGCUAGUUGGUAAGGUAACGGCUUACCAAGGCAACGAUGCAUAGCCGACCUGAGAGGGUGAUCGGCCACACUGGAACUGAGACACGGUCCAGACUCCUACGGGAGGCAGCAGUAGGGAAUCUUCCGCAAUGGGCGAAAGCCUGACGGAGCAACGCCGCGUGAGUGAUGAAGGUCUUCGGAUCGUAAAACUCUGUUAUUAGGGAAGAACAUAUGUGUAAGUAACUGUGCACAUCUUGACGGUACCUAAUCAGAAAGCCACGGCUAACUACGUG
rnacentral:rRNA from 1 species